GACGAACGCUGGCGGCGUGCUUAACACAUGCAAGUCGUACGGUAAGGCCCUUUCGGGGGUACACGAGUGGCGAACGGGUGAGUAACACGUGAGUAACCUGCCCACAACUUUGGGAUAACGCUAGGAAACUGGUGCUAAUACUGGAUAUGUGCUCCUGCUGCAUGGUGGGGGUUGGAAAGCUCCGGGGGUUGUGGAUGGACUCGCGGCCUAUCAGCUUGUUGGUGGGGUAGUGGCCUACCAAGGCGGCGGCGGGUAGCCGGCCUGGGGGGGUGACCGGCCACAUUGGGACUGAGGUACGGCCCAGACUCCUACGGGAGGCAGCAGGGGGGGAUAUUGCACAAUGGGCGCAAGCCUGAUGCAGCAACGCCGCGUGCGGGAUGACGGCCUUCGGGUUGUAAACCGCUUUCAGCAGGGACGAAGCUUUUUGUGACGGUACCUGCAGAAGAAGCACCGGCUAACUACGUG
rnacentral:rRNA from 1 species